rnacentral:rRNA from 1 species
GGGGAAGUAGCUUGCUACCUGACCUAGCGGCGGACGGGUGAGUAAUGCUUAGGAAUCUGCCUAUUAGUGGGGGACAACGUUCCGAAAGGAACGCUAAUACCGCAUACGCCCUACGGGGGAAAGCAGGGGAUCUUCGGACCUUGCGCUAAUAGAUGAGCCUAAGUCGGAUUAGCUAGUUGGUGGGGUAAAGGCCUACCAAGGCGACGAUCUGUAGCGGGUCUGAGAGGAUGAUCCGCCACACUGGGACUGAGACACGGCCCAGACUCCUACGGGAGGCAGCAGUGGGGGAAUAUUGGACAAUGGGCGGGAAGCCUGAUCCAGCCAUGCCGCGUGUGUGAAGAAGGCCUUUUGGUUGUAAAGCACUUUAAGCGAGGAGGAGGCUCCUUUAGUUAAUACCUAAAGAGAGUGGACGUUACUCGCAAAAAAAGCACCCGGCUAACUCUGUGCCAGCAGCCGCGGUAAUACAGAGGGUGCGAGCGUUAAUCGGAUUUACUGGGCCGAAAAGCGUGCGUAGGCGGCUUUUUUAAGUCGGAUGUGAAAUCCCUGAACUUACCUUAAGAAAUUGCAUUCCAAUACUGGGAA